GAUGAACGCUGGCGGCGUGCCUAAUACAUGCAAGUAGAACGCUGAAGGAGGAGCUUGCUCUUCUGGAUGAGUUGCGAACGGGUGAGUAACGCGUAGGUAACCUGCCUGGUAGCGGGGGAUAACUAUUGGAAACGAUAGCUAAUACCGCAUGACAACAGUUAUUGCAUGAUAACUGUUUAAAAGGGGCAACUGCUCCACUACCAGAUGGACCUGCGUUGUAUUAGCUAGUUGGUGAGGUAACGGCUCACCAAGGCGACGAUACAUAGCCGACCUGAGAGGGUGAUCGGCCACACUGGGACUGAGGCACGGCCCAGACUCCUACGGGAGGCAGCAGUAGGGAAUCUUCGGCAAUGGACGGAAGUCUGACCGAGCAACGCCGCGUGAGUGAAGAAGGUUUUCGGAUCGUAAAGCUCUGUUGUAAGAGAAGAACGAGUGUGAGAGUGGAAAGUUCACACUGUGACGGUAGCUUACCAGAAAGGGACGGCUAACUACGUG
rnacentral:rRNA from 1 species